rnacentral:rRNA from 1 species
GGGCGUCGACCGGCGCACGGGUGAGUAACGCGUAUCCAACCUGCCCACCACUUGGGGAUAACCUUGCGAAAGUAAGACUAAUACCCAAUGAUAUCUCUAGAAGACAUCUGAAAGAGAUUAAAGAUUUAUCGGUGAUGGAUGGGGAUGCGUCUGAUUAGCUUGUUGGCGGGGUAACGGCCCACCAAGGCAACGAUCAGUAGGGGUUCUGAGAGGAAGGUCCCCCACAUUGGAACUGAGACACGGUCCAAACUCCUACGGGAGGCAGCAGUGAGGAAUAUUGGUCAAUGGACGAGAGUCUGAACCAGCCAAGUAGCGUGCAGGAUGACGGCCCUAUGGGUUGUAAACUGCUUUUAUAAGGGAAUAAAGUGAGUCUCGUGAGACUUUUUGCAUGUACCUUAUGAAUAAGGACCGGCUAAUUCCGUGCCAGCAGCCGCGGUAAUACGGAAGGUCCGGGCGUUAUCCGGAUUUAUUGGGUUUAAGGGGAGCGUAGGCCGGAGAUUAAGCGUGUUGUGAAAUGUAGACGCUCAACGUCUGCACUGCAGCGCGAACUGGUUUCCUUGAGUACGCACAAAGUGGGCGGAAUUCGUGGUGUAGCGGUGAAAUGCUUAGAUAUCACGAAGAACUCCGAUUGCGAAGGC